AGUCUGACGGAGCACGCCGCGUGAGCGAUGAAGGCCUUCGGGUCGUAAAGCUCUGUUGUUAGGGAAGAACAAGUACCGUUCGAAUAGGGCGGUACCUUGACGGUACCUAACCAGAAAGCCACGGCUAACUACUUGCCAGCACCCGCGGUAAUACGUAGGUGGCAAGCGUUGUCCGGAAUUAUUGGGCGUAAAGCGCGCGCAGGCGGUUCCUUAAUUCUGAUGUGAAAGCCCACGGCUCACCCGUGGAGGGUCAUUGGAAACUGGGGAACUUGAUUGCAAAAAAGGAAAGCGAAAUUCCACGUGUAGCGGUGAAAUGCGUAAAGAUGUGGAGGAACACCA
rnacentral:rRNA from 1 species